rnacentral:lncRNA from 10 species
UAGGACUCACAAAAGUGUGGGGCUUCUCUGUGAUUGGGUCCUCCUGGAGUUUUUAACUCUGAGGCUUGUCUACACCAAGCCUCCAGCAUUUCAUCGGUUACACUUUAGGUUUUCCUACCCCAGCACUGCUUCCUACAGAGGCUCUGUCUCAGUUUUCCAGCUGGGACAUAGUUUUUCUUCUGUCUUUCCACAUGGAUUCGAACUAACACCAUCAGCUCGCCUGCUUCUCAGACCUUCAGACUCAGAUGGAACUACACUAUAGGUUCUCCUGGGUCUGGACUUCUCAGCCUCCAUAAUCAUACGGACUGUUGUGCAGACUCAGGCAGCUCACUCGGGGCUGGGCAGCAGACAGUGAUUAUCGUCACCCCCUGCUUUCAUCCAUUACGGCGGGUGUUAGCAGAUGUGGGAUUUGAGACCCAAAGAAGUGAAGUAACCUGCCCAAGUUUACACAGCUUGGAGUAGAACCCGAGUUUCUAUGGACUCCAGAGCUCAUGAGUUCACCACUUUUCUGUGCCUCCUAACUCUGUUGGGGAGAGAGUCCUGCUAGCAUCUAGUUGGUAGAGGCCAGGGAUAAUGCUGAACAGCCUGCAGGACACCCCGAACCCCAUCAAAGACCCAAAACGUCAAUGGUACUGAGGUUGAAAAACCCUGGUCUGGAGUUUUAAUCAGUUGGCCAUUUUUCCCAUCCCAUGUUGAAAUAUUUGUAUUUAAAACAUUACAUCUGGUUUAUUUUUUCAAGAUAAUGUCCAGUGUACAGUGGAAAAUGAUGUGUUUUCCUAUCACUUUGCUCAAGAAUAAAGCUGUAAUAUUUGCAAAAUAGAUAACCUUAGUUGUCACUCAAAAUGUAAACUGUCAUAAGGGAUAAGAGAUUAACUGAUUUCACUGUCAACCUUUACAGUGUCAUUAUUUUUCCCUGUAACUGUCUGCUUGAUAUCCUUGCUGACGAAGAUGUUUUAAAAUGGAAGACAAUUAGAGGCUUUAUGUUUAUGAAAAAUGAAGUGUUCACACACAAAAGAAUGCACAGUGGACCUUUUAUGGGAUGUUUAAAAUAUCCUUUCAUUAAAAGAUUUUCUUAAGUGGCUGUUUGUCACUUAAUAGGAAUCCCCGUUGUUGCUACUGUUGUUUUCAUGCAUAAAUACCAGCAUCUGUAGGUUUCCGGGGUGUUCUUUAGAAUUU